GUUGGGUAUGGAGAUAUGGCACCGAAGACUUACAUGGGCAUGUUCGUUGGAGCGCUGUGCGCCUUGGCCGGUGUACUCACUAUUGCGCUUCCCGUUCCUGUCAUCGUGUCUAAU